GGAGUAGCCUGGUGUCCUGUCUCACUGUGUGGCUAAAUCUUGGACCUGUGUUGAAGGUAACGUGGUGCUCUCCCCACCUGAAUGGAUCUUGGAUUUGUGUUGUGGUGUGCUCCUCCAUCUCCUGGAAAGCAAUUCUCAUGAUGCUGGCAGGACCUUGAUGACCUUGGAGACCUCAUCCCUCCAUUAAUUGUGCAGAAAGGAGCCAUGGGCUCAGAAUUACCAGCAAUGAGCUGAACUUGAUGGAGCACACCUGCACCAACCUGCCCUAUGGGGCUGGAAACAAGCUUGGCUUCACACCAGCUCUCACCUUGCAAGGGGAUAUGACACAAAGUCUUUGCUCUGCGAGCAUCGUGUAGCUAGGUUGGGGAGGGGGGGUAAGGAUGAUGCUCAGUGUGCUGGAGCACAGGGCAGCUGCAUUGGGGUGGGUGUGCAUGGGGGUUUGGGGCAACUGCUUCACCAGCCCAGGGAGCAAGGUGGGAAGAGGAGCGACUGGUGACUUCCCUUCCCUGCGGGUGUCCUGUGCAUGGAUGCAGGAGAGCUGGAAGAAAAUAACCACAAACCAGAGCAUGGGUGGGCAGACAUCUGUCUUCUGCUCCUCUUGGGUGCCUCUGGGGUCUGGGUUUCCUCGUGUAAUUCAUGGCUGAGGGUGGAGGUAAUCAGAUGGGAGGGACAGCAGGAUCCAUCCUGGAUCCCCUAAUUUCCCCUCCUGCUCGGGGCCGCAGCAGAUCGCAGCUCUUUAAGGCUGCAAUAAUCCCUGGCCUGGGAUUAGUUUUGCACCUAAUCACUGCAGAACAAAUACGAAGUUUUAUUUACAGAAGCAGA